AAUCAACGCUGGCGGCGCGCUUAACACAUGCAAGUCGAGCGAGAAAGGGGAGCAAUCCCUGAGUAAAGCGGCGUACGGGUGAGUAACACGUGGGUAAUCUGCCUUCUAGUGUGGAAUAACCCUGGGAAACCGGGGCUAAUACCGCAUAAGCCUGUGAAGGGAAAGCGAGCAAUCGCGCUAGAAGAGGAGCCCGCGGCCGAUUAGCUAGUUGGUGAGGUAACGGCCCACCAAGGCGAUGAUCGGUAGCCGGCCUGAGAGGGCACACGGCCACACUGGC
rnacentral:rRNA from 1 species